GCACUCCCCCGUUGCGACACCCCUGUGACACCUUUCAGGGCCUGUGACUCAGCCCAUUCUCGCCUGUCAAGCCGCCAGGAGAGAGGAUAGCUCAUGGACCAAAGAAGCAUGAUGAUGGAGAAAGAGCUGAGUCUCCAGGAAGAGUGGAGAGCCAAACAGUCAUUCUCCCAGAGGAAUUCAGGGUGAACUUCAUAUGUCAGAUCCAGUCAGCUGGCUUCUUGAGAAGGAGAAAGUACAUUGGCUUUGAGCCCCACAAUUAUGGAAGAACCCAGAUGUAGGCUGCAAAGGCCUGGCCAUCACUGCGUGUCUCUCCCUGCAAGAAAACCCUGCCCACAAGAGCGAGGGGAAGGGCCAAGAGUCCACCCUAGGCAAGGUCCAGGACGCAGGAAACCUUCCCUGAGGCCACAGUACCCUACCCUCCCUCUCUCUGCAGGGCUGGUAGGAAGGCUCAGGCAGCCUCGGCUAGCUUAGCUGUUUGCCGGACUGGGUCUGGACAAUGGUAAAGGAAUAGCCCCCUCCUCGCUGCCCCAGGCACAUAAAGCAGGCCUUUCACUGA